rnacentral:lncRNA from 1 species
CGGGGAGACCGCGUUUAGAGGAUCAGUGGCGGCGGGCCCGCGCGGUGCCGGCGACUAGCAGCGAGGUGUCCUGGCCCCUUCCAGGUUUGGAGAUGGCCUUGGGAGAGCAACCUCUGGACCUCAGCAGUGUGAGCAUGACAACAGUACCCUGUGGUGCUGUCCCCACUCAGGGUUUCUCAUCCUGGAACUCACUCUGUAGAUCAGGCUGUCCUCAAACUCAGAGAUCCACCUGCCUCUGCCUCUGAAGUCCUGGGAAUGCAGAGGCCUCCCAGAGAAGUGUGAAGGGAUGGGCCUUAACCAGGGUUGAAGAAAGAAAGUGAAGAAGGGGAGAGCCCAAGGAAAGGUGGGGACAGUUGGAACUUUUGAUUACACUGGUCUACUUCUCAUGUAUCAUAUGCUAUGAUCUCCAAAUUCCACAUUUAUUGUAGCUGUCUGCAGUGUGUACGCCCCGGCCGCAUGCUGCUUGGCUAAAAAAGUGUUAAAUAAAACUGUAAGAAACGCUA